UACGUAGGGGGCAAGCGUUGUCCGGAAUCAUUGGGCGUAAAGCGCGUGUAGGCGGUCCGGUAAGUCCGCUGUGAAAGUCGGGGGCUCAACCCUCGGAUGCCGGUGGAUACUGUCGGGCUUGAGUACGGAAGAGGCGAGUGGAAUUCCUGGUGUAGCGGUGGAAUGCGCAGAUAUCAGGAGGAACACCGGUGGCGAAGGCGGGUCUCUGGGCCGAUGACUGACGCUGAGGAGCGAAAGCGUGGGGAGCAAACAGG
rnacentral:rRNA from 1 species